CCCAUACCCAGCCCACUUGGCCAGACACUUCACUUACAAAUAUGUUCUCCUGCUGUGUCCCCUCUUAACGGGGCUCUUGUUUCCGGAAAGCCUGGAGUGAGAGCCUUUUCGGAAGCUGCAGACAUUUGUUCAACCCUCGCUCGAUCCAGACACCUCUGGCCAUUUGCCAGGAGGUCCCCGAAGGGUGAAAAUGUGUCCACAGUGAAAUGGAAGAGACCCGCAUGGUGUGGACCGUCCAGGGAGGCAGGCCAGAAAAGCAAGUGGAGCACCUGGUGUUCGCCUUCCUGGGCAGUGACCCCUCAUACGUGCCCACCCUCCUGGGCACCUGCAGAGCUUCUGCCAACACCCAACAGCACUCGACCUGCUGUUCAAAGGCGAGCACUAAGUCCGUCCACGAGACAGUGGUGUUUUGGUGACUUACUAGCUGUGAGACUUCAGAAUGUCACUGCCCCUCUCUGAGCCUCAGUUUGCUCCUGUGAACCUUGGAGUGAAUAGAGCACCAACCUCAUAGGGUUAUUUUCAAAACUAAGUGGGUCCACCAUGGAAAGUGCUGUCCGGGUGCCUGGCCCUGGGGCAAGAACUGCUGCAGGGCCAUGUUUGUGCUAAUUUAUCAUUUCCCUCAUGCCAUGACGAAGCCUCUGCCUCAUUCAUCACUGUUCUUGUAGCCUUGGGCUAAAGUGUUUUCCCAUUGGAAAAUGAGAUUUGAGAUUCCAUUAGUGGUUCCUUUUCAUGGGUAAAGUCUGAGGAGGGAUCCUUGGG
rnacentral:lncRNA from 1 species